UUGAAAAAACCAAACCUAGGAGUUCAAUUAAAUAUUGUUUGAGGUUUUUUUUAUAUAUAUAUUUUAAACAAUAUUUAAUUGAACUCCUAGGUUUGGUUUUUUCAAACAUGGGGA